rnacentral:lncRNA from 10 species
GGACAGAAGUGGAUUGCUAUAAGUCACAGCUCGUCAGUGGGGGGGUUGGGGUCAACGCAGACAUUUUAACAUCCCAGGCUGUGUUUAUCCACUAUCGGAACUGCCUUUCUUAAUCAGGGAGGAUUUUAGAGACAGGGCCAGGGGUCAGGAAGUAAAGCCAGUGCUACCCCCAGGGUGUGUGUAUUAGAGAGGGAGAGGAGGAAGGAAGGGAGGAACACAGAGAGAGCUUGUGUGUCAGGGGCACCAUUUCAACCCGAGUUCCCAGUGCUGGAACAGCAUCACACUGGGAAACGUUCCAUUUUCUCUCUGGAGCUGGUGUGCUUGACCUCUCUGGAGCAAACGCCUUUCCGGAUACUCCCUGUGACACGCACUGUCUAUGCUGGCCAGAGAGCAGGCUUUCACUCCUGUGGGCUGCUGAGGCCAG